UCGUGAUAUAUGGACAGCCCGUAGGACGGUGGUAUUAACUCGCCUUUGGCUCAGUCAUUAUCACUGUCUCAGUCAAUACCACUGUCCUGUGGGCAGUCCAUAUAUCACGAUUAUGACCAGUUUUUCAAUAACUAUUAUGUAAGUAUUGUACACUGAACGGGAAUAUUCAAAUAAGCCAUGCAAAACAUUCAAAGAAAAUAACCAUGACUGUGAAAAACAAGGCCAAAAAAUCUCAAUCAACUGACAAAACAAACUGACAUAUCCCGAUAACAAGAUUUUUUAAGGUUUUAUACUGUGUCAAAUUAGUGUUACAGCAUACAAUUAUAAGGUUUGAGGUAUUCAUAAUUAUUAAAAGUACAUGCAAUCUUCAGAAAAUUAAUUUGCAUAUCUUGUAUGCAAACUCCUUGUUGAAAAC
rnacentral:lncRNA from 1 species